GCCGUGGUGACCGAGUGGUUAUGGCGUUGGACUCAUAAUCCAAUGGAUUAUACCCGCACAGGUACAAAUCUUGUCCACAGCG
rnacentral:tRNA from 1 species